UAGUGGUUAUGUCCUCAAUACAACCUAUCAAAGAUUGCUCUAAUGAUAUUCUUCUCAUUUUAUAUGACCACAGUUAUUUUAGGCCUGGCAUGUGUAAUAAAGGACAUCUGUUCCUAUUCAUAAACACCUUCCCUUCUUACCCAGACUGUAGAAGAUAUUGCAAGUCAUAGAAGAAACUCAUGGUAUAAGGUGACAGAGACAGAGAGGAACUGACAUAUUGAGAAGGACAGACUGAGCAUAUCAUGGGUUCUCAGGUGUUGGGUGACCUCACACUCUGGGUACAAAAGCAUGAUGGCCAGAAUCUUACCAGGGCAUGCUUAGCCCCAUCGACCUCUAAAGUCAGUUCCUAGCUCCCCCCAGCAAAAGCACCAGCUUCUACCCUCAAUCACUGAUUCUGAAACUCAACCCAUUCCAGAUGCACCUGGGGACCAUCUUAACCUAGAUUCCAGGCCUCCCUUUGAGAUUCUGAAUCAGUAAGUCUAGAAUCAGUAAGCCUGGAAUCCUUAUCUUCUCACCAUUUCCCAGCUGAUGCAGGUAAACUGAAGAAGAUGGUGCCGAGAAAUGACAGGCUGCAUCUGCCAGUGUCAGAGAAAGAUCUUUGUGGCAAGGUGCUGUGGCUUACCAGGUACAGCCCCCACCUACAGUGCUGGCAUCCCAUAUGGACAUGGGUUCAAGUUCCAGCUGCUCCGCUUCUGAUCCAGCUCUCUGCUAUGGCCUGGGAGAGCAGUAGAAGAUGGCUCAAGUCCUUGGGGCCCCGCACCCAAGUGGGAGACCUGGAAGAAACUCCUGGUUCCACGCUUUGGAUUGGCACAGCUCUGGCCGUUGUGGCCAUCUGGGGAGUGAAGCAGUGCAUGGAAGACCUCUAUCUGCCUCUGCCUCUCUGUAACUCUGACUUUCAAAUAAAUAAAUAA